rnacentral:lncRNA from 1 species
CCAAGUAAAUCCUCACCAGAUUGUCAACUGAGAGACAUUCUUCCAGUUCUGUGUGCCUGGAUCUGCCUGUAGUAGACAUACAAGGUGUUGCUCAGUCCAAAAUCCUAGGGAACGUCUAUAAAGGUACACCAGCUACAUCCUAGUGUACUGACAGUUCUUCCUGCCUGAACUCAUGCAGACCUUGCUGGCUGUGGAUUGGAGAAGUGCAGAACCAUGGUUGGAAAUGUGAAGUAUUCCAGCAUGGGUUUAAUACCUCAAGAAUACGUUGCUUGGAUAGUGUGCAGUGAAUGGAGUGGUGUUAAAGGCAGUAAAGAUGAAUUUCAAGCGGAACACAUCAUCUGUCUUGGCUCGCUAUGCAAUGCGCUGUCCUAUAGAAUUUCCUUUAAAUACACAAUGGGUUUGUAGAGAAAACAUAUUUUUCUCCUGUAUUGUUCACUCCUUUUUACUUGGAAAAGUUAAUUAAGCAGACUAGGACAACAAAAUUUCUUCUAAGGAGAUAAAACAAAAACAAAAACAAACAAACAAACAAACAAAAACAAACAAACAAACAUCAUCAACAAAAAAACACACAAAAAAAAGAGCAGAGGGCUAAGUCCUUCAACUUGCAUACAUCUAAAAUUAAUUAGAAAAACUUGUAUCUAAAUCUACAAGUGCAUUUGUUUCUAUCCUAGUGCUUUUGAGGUCUGAAAUGUGGGGAUACAUUUUAUAUGCAAGUACAAAAUAUGUGGUUCAAAAUUUUCCUUUUUUAACUGUAAUGGGAGUUUUUUAUAAUCUUGCACAUUAUUUCAAAUGCAUGAAUUCCAUUCAAUAAAAAAAAAAAAAAUCCUCUCUAUUGGAACUGU